GGUCGCCGUUUUCUGUUAAAGUAGAAUCCAUAUUUGGGCAAGGCCACGCCCAGUGACUGGCGGUGCAUUAACAUAAUCUAUUCACGUACGGAGGCGCUCAUUGUGGGAGGGGAGUGUUAUCGUUCUCCACAAGUGACGUCAUGUCACCUCUUGCUGCCGCGUGACAUCACGAGAUAACAGGAAGCUGCUGCUCCGCCCGUGCACUGAAAUCCGAGAAGCGACCUGCCCACAACACAACACAAGCUGUCGCUUCCUCUGCAGGAUUGGUCUGAUGGAGCAAAGGCACUCGGCGCGGCUCGGUGCAUAUGGCACGGAUCGUCCUGCACAUUUGAAAUGGCACCAGAGAACCCACACGGGAGAGAAAUCCUUCAAGUGCAGUGUGUGUGGGAAGGCGUUUGCACAGUCAUCAAAUCUUAAUGUACACCAGAGAACCCACACGGGAGAGAAACCCUUCAAGUGCAGUGUGUGUGGGAAG